rnacentral:rRNA from 1 species
GACGAACGCUGGCGGCGUGCCUAAUACAUGCAAGUCGAACGCAGUGGGGACGGGUGAGUAACACGUGGGUAACCUCCCAUCAGAGGGGAUAACACUUGGAAACAGGUGCUAAACCGAUACUGAUGGAUGGACCCGCGGUGCAUUAGCUAGUUGGUAAGGUAACGGCUCACAAAGGCCACGAUGCAUAGCCGACGUGAGAGAGUGAUCGGCAACACAGGAACUGAAAAACGGCCCAGACUCAUAGGGGAGGCAGCAGUAGGGAAUCUUAGGCAAUGGACGAAAGUCUGACCGAGAAACGCCGCGUGAGUGAAAAAGGUUUUCGGAUCGUAAGACUCUGUUGUUAGAGAAGCGGUAUCUAACCAGAAAGCCACGGAUAACUACGUGCCAGCGGCCGCGGUAAUUC